rnacentral:SRP_RNA from 1 species
GGAACGGAUAGGCUGGGGGGCCAGGGGUCCCUUGUAACCGCAAAUCCCCUUUAGGCGGGGCCGAAAAGCCGGAAGAGGCUUCGAAGGUGUGAGCGGGUCCGUAUGUCCCGCGUAGAUCUCCUGCCUUGCGCGGCGGUCCGCUGUGUGAACCGGGUCAGACCGGAAGGAGCAGCCCUAAACACAGUGGGCCGUGCCGUAAGUCAACAGGAGGGAGUUGGCAUGCGGGGUGCCUUAACAUAUCUUCCCAGUCCAUUCCGGUGAAUCCGCUUU